UACGUAGGGUGCAGGCGUUAAUCGGAAUUAUUGGGCGUAAAGCGUGCGCAGGCGGCUUGCUAAGUCAGGCGUGAAAUCCCCGGGCUUAACCUGGGAACUGCGCUUGUAACUGGCAAGCUAGAGUGUGGCAGAGGGGGGUGGAAUUCCUCGUGUAGCAGUGAAAUGCGUAGAUAUGCGGAGGAACACCGAUGGCGAAGGCAAUCCCCUGGACCUGUACUGACGCUCAUGCACGAAAGCGUGGGGAGCAAACAGG
rnacentral:rRNA from 1 species